AAUGAUCCUGUGUCAUGGUUCCAAAAGAAAAUCUGAGGGAACAUGUUGGUCUUGAGUGAUCACAUAUCAAAAGAAAAGAAUGAGUUGAACUAAAUCCGAUGCCAAAGAAUUCCAAAGCGCCUAGGUGCUGAUUGGCAUGACCUACCAGAAGAAAAGGUGCUUGCCAAAGCGCUCAGGUGUAUUGUCUUACAAUGUCUACAAAAUGCAGGUUAAACUAUCUACUGGUCAAAUGGUGGAUUUGAUACCUCGGUGCUUGCCAAACACAGCCAAUAGGCACAAUCAGUGGAAGGGACUAUUUAGCCCCGAUGUAACAAUUAUGCAGUAUGAUUGUUAGUUGUUACAACUUACCUGGAUCGACAAGAGAGCAUUGUGAAGCUAGACUACUGAUGUCAACUGCAGCAGAAGCAUUUCUACAAAGCUUUAGAGCAUGAUUAGGAUAUUCAGAUCUCCUGCAACAAUGCGGAAAAGAAAUGAAUCAAAGGCAGGAAGCUAUAGGUCCCCAGAUUCAUCACAAGUGAGGAGUAAGAUGCUAUAUGCAAGCUUCAAGGACAGGUUAAAGAGAGAGCUAAAUGGAUUUCAAGUGGAAUUGAAAGCUACAGACCCCAUUAAGAUGAGCAUUGAUAUCAUCAAGGGCCGGGCUCUUCGCCCUUCAUCAUUUUUUUUUUCUUUCUUUCUUUAUUAAAAAAUCCCAACCAUCAAUAUCUUUCACUCAAUUCUCUUCUUCUUCUUCUUCUUUUGGCAUUUUUUCUAUUGAUAUUAUAUGUGAUUCAAUGUCUAGAAUGGCAACUUCAUUUAGUUUAA